AGUUGCUCUGUAAAUUUAGGUUUUUGUGUGUUUUAUACAGUGAAAUGGCAUUUUUGACCCUGGGUGUCCAACAGAAGUCUCCCGACUUCUUCCUCAGAAAUCUCAGAAAUCAAAAAGGAAAAAACUGUGCUCUGCAACAUGAUCGGCGAUUUCGAUUCCGCUUCGUGAGAUCUGUGCGAUCUUUGCUUCAGUUUCCAGUUUCUAUUUGCACAAAGAACUUUUAGACAGGGUAGAACUUCUUCAGUCUCUCUAAGUAGGAGAAAGAGAAGGAUCCAAAUGGGAGCAAGGCACGACAUGGAACAAACAAGCUCAUGAGAAUGUUAACGUUCAAGGGACUCGGGGGAUGGUGACUGAUCAACUGAAAAAACUGAGGUAUAUGGUUUUUCUCUUCGAAUUCCAUAAACAUGCAUGUAUUUACAUCUAAUAUUAACGGUACAAGGAAUCAAAUAAUUAAAAUUUGGCCUAGAAAAAUAUUAGUUAAGUAAGCCGGUUCACAAGUGUGUGCAGUGCACAUAUAAUAUGUUCAAUUUCUUGAAAACCGUCUUUAUUUCGUAGAUUAAACUAAGAAAUUUGGAAAACCCUGUUAGAGAUUUUGCUUGAAAUCAUGGUUUGGGAUUAAAUAGCAGGGUCAGAUCUAGUAUUCUGAGAAGUACUUCAAUGAUAUCUACGAGUACAGGUAUGCUCCUUUAUGCUUCGUUUCUUUCGAUUUUUCUUCAAUUUUUUAUAAACUUUUUGUUUUUUUCAAUGUUGGUACAGGCAUGUGGCUAAACUGCUCCCAAAAAAUGGGCUUCUCUGCGAGGGAUGGGUCUUCUUCUUCAGCUUAGUGGGCACCGUACCUUUAGCAGAGCGUCUAGGUAAUGCGACUAAGGCAUCGGAUGUUCAACUUAACAUCACAAGUAAAAUGCAUUGGUUCUUUCCAUUGAAUUUGUAUUUUGGCCUUGCUCAACUGAAGUCCUUCCCGAGAGACCUGGAGCACCGGAUUGUCCUUACUUUAUGAACUCAAAGAUGCAAAUUUGUAUGAGGUGCAAGUUUAAUCAUCCGAAGGACAAAAUCAUACUAUUCAUAGAGUGAUUCGAAGAAUUCUAAGAGCUUCAUUCUUGGUCUACUUCGAAUUGAAACCGAAUACUGCCUAUCCAGAUUUUCUCACCCUUCCAUUCCUACCUCCUCCACCUCUUCAUCCUUGCUCCACCGUGAAUCAAAACCAAAAGUUGCUCAUCCAAAUCAAUUUCGGUUCACUCAAAUCCUUAGAACCCUAAAACCCAAAUUUCUCCAGAUCAUUCCAAAUUUCAAUGGCAAAUACAAAACCCAGAUCCCUAAACUCACUCGAUAACGUGUCAAGGGCUGGGCAUCCAGUUCUCUCACUUGGCUCCCGUUGGAUCCAGUAUGCUUUUGCUGCUGCCAAUCUAUAGGGUUUUGGCUCUGGAAGGAGAUGGAGAUCGGUGACAAUGAUCGGAGUUCGUCGCAGUAUGGAUGAUCCCAGUGUAGCGUUGAUUUUCAACUCUGGUGAUUUGUAAGGUUUUUGGGGCGUGAAUUUUGGGGGAUUUCGUUUGGAUUUCUGGCCCUGAAUUUUGCAAUGACUGUCUACCCUGUAUGUACACCAGAUGCUCCUGACAUUUCAAAUAAGUUAGGUGUCACUAGAUGGUCUACUAAAGCAGCUAAGGGUGUUUGGAUUAAAACUUAAACUUUGGGCUCAAAAGGGAGUUGGCCCAAAAGGAGGAAAGAAGCUCAAAGUCCAGCCCAAGCCCAGAAGGCAGAAAAGGCCUUUCCCGACUAGGUGCAGAUCAUUUGCACCACUUGCUCACCUACCCAAAGACCAAGUGGUGUAGACCAGCCAGCUAAUCAGCCCAAAAGUA